UAGGUGGUGUAUAAUAUAAUAAUAUUAUAAUAAUAUAUUAUAAAAGAGGUUUACGAAGUUUACCACAGUUACCAAAUUCUUCUGUAAUUUUGGUAAUUAAAAGGUAAAUUAGUAAUUUUGAAAAAAUGUAUUAAUAUAUAUUAUAUAUUUUUUAAUCUGUGGCCAUGUUGUCAAUGCGUUUCUAGUGGAUGGACAAAAUGGUUCAAGAGAAAAUAGCCUAAUUAAUGAAAAAACUCUGCAACUCUUCCUACUGUUGACUCGUUUCAUGACUGCCACCAGUUUGGCCCCAAAACAUCGACAACAAACACAUAGUGACAUAGUAAAAUAAAUACAAGAGCGAAAAAAUAUGUCAAUGAAAUUUCAUGCUGAAACCCUCAUAUUAAACAAAAAUUGUAUUCACUAAGUUGAUGGUAUAUAUUUAAGAUAAUGUUUUACAGCUUUGCCAUACUAUUGAUUAUUUUAAAAUCAUCUUAUAUAUUUUAUAUGUAAUAAGGCCAUACAGAGGGCCAGAGAUCAUUACAGACACCUGUGAUAAUCUGUAGUACUCAAAAAGGACACUAGAUUUAAUCUUCUAAGAUUCCAUUUAUUUAUCGAAAGAUACCAAAAUUCUGUCAGGUUAUUGGUAAACUUCGAAAGUUAUUGGUAAACUUAGAAAGUUACUGGUAAACUUUACACCUCUAGGUCUGCGUCUCAGUAUAAAUUCUCUGUUGGGAUUUUGGGGUGUUUUGUUGGCUCCCGAGUGGCGCAGCGGUCUAAGGCACUGCAACUCAGUACGAAAGGUGUCACUAUAGGUACCUAUAGUACCUGAAUCCAGGCUGUAUCACAUUUGGCCGUGAUUGGGAGUCCCAUAGGGCGGCGCACAAUUGGCCCAGCGUCGUCAGGGUUUGGCCGGAGUAGGCCGUCAUUGUAAAUAAGAAUAGGAACUGACUUGCCUAGUUAAAUAAAGGUUAAAUAAUAAAAUACAUAAGUCUGUUGACAUUGUGACAUUGUGACUUUGGAUUGAUUAAGCUAAGGUUAUUGUUUGGCUAAGGUUUGACGAGAUGUCUCACCUACACCUUAGCAUUCCGUUUGGCUAAGGUUUGACGAGAUGUCUCACCUACACCUUAGCAUUCCGUUAGGCUAAGGUUUGACGAGAUGUCUCACCUACACCUUAGCAUUCCGUUAGGCUAAGGUUUGACGAGAUGUCUCACCUACACCUUAGCAUUCCGUUAGGCUAAGGGUUUGACGAGAUGUCUCACCUACACCUUAGCAUUCCGUUAGGCUAAGGUUUGAUGAGAUGUCUCACCUACACCUUAGCAUUCCAUUAGGCUAAGGGUUUGACGAGAUGUCUCACCUACACCUUAGCAUUCCGUUAGGCUAAGGGUUUGACGAGAUGUCUCACCUACACCUUAGCAUUCCGUUAGGCUAAGGUUUGACGAGAUGUCUCACCUACACCUUAGCAUUCCGUUAGGCUAAGGUUUGACGAGAUGUCUCACCUACACCUUAGCAUUCCAUUAGGCUAAGGGUUUGACGAGAUGUCUCACCUACACCUUAGCAUUCCGUUAGGCUAAGGGUUUGACGAGAUGUCUCACCUACACCUUAGCAUUCCGUUAGGCUAAGGUUUGACGAGAUGUCUCACCUACACCUUAGCAUUCCGUUAGGCUAAGGUUUGACGAGAUGUCUCACCUACACCUUAGCAUUCCGUUAGGCUAAGGUUUGACGAGAUGUCUCACCUACACCUUAGCAUUCCGUUAAGCUAAGGUUUGACGAGAUGUCUCACCUACACCUUAGCAUUUCAUUUGGCUAAGGUUUGACGAGAUGUCUCACCUACACGUUAGCAUUCCGUUAGGCUAAGGGUUUGACGAGAUGUCUCACCUACACCUUACCAUUCCGUUAGGCUAAGGUUUGACGAGAUGUCUCACCUACACCUUAGCAUUCCGUUAGGCUAAGGUUUGACGAGAUGUCUCACCUACACCUUAGCAUUCCAUUAGGCUAAGGGUUUGACGAGAUGUCUCACCUACACCUUAGCAUUCCGUUAGGCUAAGGUUUGACGAGAUGUCUCACCUACACCUUAGCAUUCCGUUAAGCUAAGGUUUGACGAGAUGUCUCACCUACACCUUAGCAUUCCAUUUGGCUAAGGUUUGACGAGAUGUCUCACCUACACGUUAGCAUUCCGUUAGGCUAAGGGUUUGACGAGAUGUCUCACCUACACCUUAGCAUUCCGUUAGGCUAAGGUUUGACGAGAUGUCUCACCUACACCUUAGCAUUCCGUUAGGCUAAGGUUUGACGAGAUGUCUCACCUACACCUUAGCAUUCCGUUAGGCUAAGGGUUUGACAAGAUGUCUCACCUACACCUUAGCAUUCCGUUAGGCUAAGGGUUUGACAAGAUGUCUCACCUACACCUUAGCAUUCCGUUAGGCUAAGGUUUGACAAGAUGUCUCACCUACACCUUAGCAUUCCGUUAGGCUAAGGUUUGACAAGAUGUCUCACCUACACCUUAGUAUUCCGUUAGGCUAAGGUUUGACAAGAUGUCUCACCUACACCUUAGCAUUCCGUUAGGCUAAGGUUUGACAAGAUGUCUCACCUACACCUUAGCAUUCCGUUAGGCUAAGGGUUUGACAAGAUGUCUCACCUACACCUUAGCAUUCCGUUAGGCUAAGGUUUGACAAGAUGUCUCACCUACACCUUAGCAUUCCGUUAGGCUAAGGUUUGACAAGAUGUCUCACCUACACCUUAGUAUUCCGUUAGGCUAAGGUUUGACAAGAUGUCUCACCUACACCUUAGCAUUCCAUUAGGCUAAGGUUUGACGAGAUGUCUCACCUACACCUUAACAUUCCGUUAGGCUAAGGUUUGACUAGAUGUCUCACCUACACCUUAACAUUCCGUUAGGCUAAGGUUUGACGAGAUGUCUCACCUACACCUUAACAUUCCGUUAGGCUAAGGUUUGACGAGAUGUCUCACCUACACCUUAGCAUUCCGUUAGGCUAAGGGUUUGACGAGAUGUCUCACCUACACCUUAGCAUUCCGUUAGGCUAAGGUUUGACGAGAUGUCUCACCUACACCUUAGCAUUCCGUUUGGCUAAGGGUUUGACGAGAUGUCUCACCUACACCUUAACAUUCCGUUAGGCUAAGGUUUGACGAGAUGUCUCACCUACACCUUAACAUUCCGUUAGGCUAAGGGUUUGACAAGAUGUCUCACCUACACCUUAGCAUUCCGUUAGGCUAAGGGUUUGACGAGAUGUCUCACCUACACUUUAGCAUUCCGUUAGCGCAAGGGUUUGACGAGAUGUCUCACCUACACCUUAGCAUUCCGUUAGGCUAAGGGUUUGACGAGAUGUCUCACCUACACCUUAGCAUUCCGUUAGGCUAAGGGUUUGACAAGAUGUCUCACCUACACCUUAGCAUUCCGUUAGGCUAAGGGUUUGACAAGAUGUCUCACCUACACCUUAGCAUUCCGUUAGGCUAAGGGUUUGACAAGAUGUCUCACCUAGACCUUAGCAUUCCGUUAGGCUAAGGGUUUGACAAGAUGUCUCACCUACACCUUAGCAUUCCGUUAGCCUAAGGGUUUGACGAGAUGUCUCACCUACACCUUAGCAUUCCGUUAGGCUAAGGGUUUGACAAGAUGUCUCACCUACACCUUAGCAUUCCGUUAGGCUAAGGGUUUGACAAGAUGUCUCACCUACACCUUAGCAUUCCGUUAGGCUAAGGGUUUGACAAGAUGUCUCACCUACACCUUAGCAUUCCGUUAGGCUAAGGGUUUGACAAGAUGUCUCACCUACACCUUAGCAUUCCGUUAGGCUAAGGUUUGACAAGAUGUCUCACCUACACCUUAGCAUUCCGUUAGGCUAAGGGUUUGACGAGAUGUCUCACCUACACCUUAACAUUCCGUUAGGCUAAGGGUUUGACAAGAUGUCUCACCUACACCUUAGCAUUCCGUUAGGCUAAGGGUUUGACAAGAUGUCUCACCUACACCUUAGCAUUCCGUUAGGCUAAGGGUUUGACAAGAUGUCUCACCUACACCUUAGCAUUCCGUUAGGCUAAGGGUUUGACAAGAUGUCUCACCUACACCUUAGCAUUCCGUUAGGCUAAGGGGUUGACAAGAUGUCUCACCUACACCUUAGCAUUCCGUUAGGCUAAGGGUUUGACAAGAUGUCUCACCUACACCUUAGCAUUCCGUUAGGCUAAGGGUUUGACAAGAUGUCUCACCUACACCUUAGCAUUCCGUUAGGCUAAGGGUUUGACAAGAUGUCUCACCUACACCUUAGCAUUCCGUUAGGCUAAGGGUUUGACAAGAUGUCUCACCUACACCUUAGCAUUCCGUUAGGCUAAGGGUUUGACGAGAUGUCUCACCUACACCUUAUCAUUCCGUUAUCCACUGGGUUGUUGUCACUAUACCACUAUUUCAACUCUCUUAAUAAAGGUCAGGCCGAGACAUAUUUUGGAAACGCUCAAUUACUCAAUGAAUCUCUUGGAACUGAAAACACUAAUAUGAGGUAACAAAUGAGCGCUGUGUUCCAAAUGAUGCCCUAUUGCUCAGGUAGUGCACUACUGUUGACCAGGGCCCAUAGUGCACUACUGUUGACCAGGGCCCAUAGGGUAGUGCACUACUGUUGACCAGGGCCCAUAGGGUAGUGCACUACUGUUGACCAGGGCCCAUAGGGUAGUGCACUACUGUUGACCAGGGCCCAUAGGGUAGUGCACUACUGUUGACCAGGGCCCAUAGGGUAGUGCACUACUGUUGACCAGGGCCCAUAGGGUAGUGCACUACUGUUGACCAGGGCCCAUAGGGUAGUGCACUACUGUUGACCAGGGCCCAUAGGGCUCUAUAGUAGUGCACUAUAAAGGGAAUACGGUGCCAUUCAGGCGUUGCAUAAAGCCGAUGGGUAUAACGCAUUGCUACUUGUUAUAAACUUUGUGAGCCUCUAAAACGUCCAGACUUAUGAUGAUAUUCUGAUGUUUACCCCCCACCCCCAUCAGUUAUGAUGUUAUUCUGAUGUGUACCCCCCCCAUCAGUUAUGAUGUUAUUCUGAUG